rnacentral:miRNA from 1 species
AUUCGAGGGAAUUGUCCGAUAAAUCAAUUAUAUCAAAAUCAAACAAAAAAUUCCCCCGUUUCUCUCUCCGCCUUUACCUCUCUUCCCUCUCCUUUACUC